UUCUUUCAUCAGUUUGUUCCCUGUUUCUUCUCUAGCCUGAGCCUGACACACUAUUCUAGCUAGACAUGGGUGUGGCUCGUGACACCUGGUGACCAAACGGAUCUACGGCACCGUCGAAUCUCAAACUUUAACUACGAAAACUAUUGUUUUUCAUCCUGUAGUCCUUUUUAGAAUUACUAAACGUCCUUUUUUGGGCCGAGAUUUCGAGGAACGCUUUGUCGGGGUUUGUGUGCGCGUAUUUCAAACCAUACGGACCUAAAAAUUAGAAGUCAUUCCAUCUUUAUUCCCCUAGAGCCUUCCAGUAGUUCCUAAACAGCUCUAGUCGGAGCACGUUAUCAUUCUUGUUAGUUCUGAGCGAAUUCCCUCGGUAUGAUCAUUCUUUCAUCAGUUUGUUCUGCGUUUCUUCUCUAGUCUGAGCCUAGCACACUAUUCUAGCUAUUAAUGGGUGUGGAUCGUAACACCUAAUGACCAAACGGAUCUACGACACCGUCGAAUGUCGGUAUGAUCAUUCUUUCAUCAGUUUGUUCCCUGUUUCUUCUCUAGCCUGAGCCUGACACACCAUUCUAGCUAGACAUGGGUGUGGCUCGUGACACCUGAUGACCAAACGGAUCUACGGCACCGUCGAAUCUCACGCUUUCUCGGGGUCUGUGUGCAUGUAUUUCAAAUCAUACGGACCUAAAAAUUAGAAUCCAUUCCAUCUUUAUUCCCCUAGAGCCUUCCAGCAGUUCCUAAACCGCUCCAGUCGGAGCACACUAUCAUUAUUGUUAGUUCUGAGUGAAUUCCCUCGGUAUGAUCAUUCUUUCAUCAGUUUGUUCCCCGUUUCUUCUCUAGUCUGAGCAUAACACACUAUUCUAGCUAGACACGGGUGUGGCUGUAACACCCGAUGACCAAACGGAUCUACGGCACCGUCGAAUCUCAAACUUUAACUACGAAAACUAUUGUUUUUCAUCCUGUAGUCCUUUUUAGAAUUACUAAACGUCCUUUUUUGGGACGAGAUUUCCAGGAACGCUUUCUCGGGGUUUGUGUGCGCGUAUUUCAAACCAUAUGAACCUUAAAAUUAGAAUUCAUUCCAUCUUUAUUCCCCUAGAGCCUUCCAGCAGUUCCUAAACCGCUCCAGUCGGAGCACGUUAUCAUUCUUGUUUGUUCUGAGCAAAUUCCCUCAGUAUGAUCAUUCUUUCAUCAUUUUGUUCCCGGUUUCUUCUCUAGUCUGAGUCUAGCACACUAUUCUAGCUAGACAUGGGUGUGGCUCAUAACACCUAAUGACCAAACGGAUCUACGGCACCAUCGAAUCUCAAACUUUAACUGCUAAAACUAUUGUAUUUCAUCCUUUAGUCCCUUAUCAUUCUUGUUAGUUCUGAGUGAAUUCCCUUGGUAUGAUCAUUCUUUCAUCAGUUUGUUCCCCGUUUCUUCUCUAGUCUGAGCCUAGCACACUAUUCUAGCUAGACAUGGGUGUGGCUCAUAACACCUUAUGACCAAACGGAUCUACGGCACCAUCGAAUCUCAAACUUUAACUGCCAAAACUAUUGUUUUUCAUCCUGUAGUCCCUUUUAGAAUUACUAAACGUCCUUUUUUGGGCAGAUAUUUCCAGGAACGCUUUAUCGGGGUUUGUGUGCACAUAUUUCAGACCAUACGGACCUAAAAAUUAGAAGUCAUUCCAUCUUUAUUCCCCUAUAGCCUUCCAGCAGUUCCUAAACCACUCCAGUCGGAGCACGUUAUCAUUCUUGUUAGUUCUGAGCGAAUUCCCUCGAUAUGAUCAUUCUUUCAUCAAUUUGUUCCCCGUUUCUUCUCUAGUCUAAGCCUAGCAAACUAGUCUAGCUAGACAUGGGUGUGGCUCGUAACACCUGAUGACCAAACGCAUCUAUGACAUCGUCAAAUCUCAAACUAUAACUGCCAAAACUAUUGUUUUUCAUCCUGUAGUCCCUUUUAGAAUACUAAACGUCCUUUUUUGGGCCGAGAUUUCCACGAUCGCUUUCUCGGGGUUUGUGUGCAUGUAUUUCAAACCAAACGUUCCUAAAAAUUUGAAGGCAUUCUAUCUUUAUUCCCCUAGAGCCUUCCAGCAGUUCCUAAACCGCUCCAGUCGGAGCACGUUAUCAUUCUUGUUUGUUCUGAGCGAAUUCCCUCAGUAUGAUCAUUCUUUCAUCAUUUUGUUCCCGGUUUCUUCUCUAGUCUGAGUCUAGCACACUAUUCUAGCUAGACAUGGGUGUGGCUCGUAACACCUAAUGACCAAACGGAUCUACGGCACCGUCGAAUCUCAAACUUUAACUGCUAAAACUAUUGUUUUUCAUCCUUUAGUCCCUUGUAGAAUUACUAAACGUCCUUUUUUGGGCCGAGAUUUCGAGGAACGCUUUGUCGGGGUUUGUGUGCACGUAUUUCAAACCAUACGGACCUAAAAAUUAGAAGUCAUUCCAUCUUUGUUCCCUUAGAGCCUUCCAGCAGUUCCUAAACCGCUCCAGUCGGAGCACGUUAUCAUUCUUGUUAGUUCUGAGCAAAUUCCCUCGGUAUGAUCAUUCUUUCAUCAGUUUGUUCCCUGUUUCUUCUCUAGUCUGAGCCUAGCACACUAUUCUAGCUAUUAAUGGGUGUGGAUCGUAACACCUGAUAACCAAACGGAUCUACGACACCGUCGAAUCUCAAACUUUAACUGCCAAAACUACUGUUUUUCAUUCCGUAGUCCCUUUUAAAUUACUAAACGUCAUUUUUUGGGCAGAGAUAUCCAGGAACGCUUUCUCGGGGUUUGUGUGCACGUAUUUCAAAUCAUACGGACCUAAAAAUUAGAAUCCAUACCAUCUUUAUUCCCCUGGAGCUUUCCAGCAGUUCCUAAACCGCUCCAGUCGGAGCACGUUAUCAUUAUUUUUAGUUCUGAGUGAAUUCCCAUGGUAUGAUCAUUUUCUCAUCAGUUUGUUCCCCGUUUCUUCUCUAGUCUGAGCCUAUCACACUAUUCUAGCUAGACAUGGGUGUGGCUCGUAACACCUGAUGACCAAACGGAUCUACGGCACCGUCGAAUCUCAAACUUCAACUGCCAAAACUAUUAUUUUUCAUCCUGUAGUCCCUUUUAGAAUUACUAAAUGUCCUUUUUUGGGCCGAGAUUUCCAGGAACGCUUUCUCGGGGUUUGUGUGCAUGUAUUUCAAACCAUACGGACCUAAAAAUUAGGUCAUUCCAUCUUUAUUCCCCUAGAGCCUUCCAGCAGUUCCUAAACCGCUCCAGUCGGAGCACGUUAUCAUUCUUGUUUGUUCUGAGCGAAUUCCCUCGAUAUGAUCAUUCUUUCAUCAGUUUGUCCCCCGUUUCUUCUCUAGCCUGAGCCUGACACACUAUUCUAGCUAGACAUGGGUGUGGCUCGUAACACCUAAUGACCAAACGGAUCUACGGCACCGUUGAAUCUCAAACUUUAACUGCCAAAACUAUUGUUUUUCAUUAUGUAGUCCCUUUUAAAUUACUAAACGUCAUUUUUUGGGCUGAGAUAUCCAGGAAAGCUUUCUCGGGGUUUGUGUGCACGUAUUUCAAAUCAUACGGACCUAAAAAUUAGAAGUCAUUCCAUAUUUAUUCCCCUAGAGCCUUCCAGAAAUUCCUAAACCGCUCCAGUUGGACCACGUUAUCAUUCUUGUUAGUUCUGAGUGAAUUACCUCAGUAUGAUCAUUCUUUCAUCAGUUUGUUCCCCGUUUCUUCUAUAGUCUGAGCCUAGCACACUACUCUAGCUAGACAUGGGUGUGGCUCGUAACACCUGAUGACCAAACAGAUCUACGACACCGUCAAAUCUCAAACUUUAACUGCCAAAACUAUUGUUUUUCAUCCUGUAGUCCCUUUUAGAAUUACUAAACGUCCUUUUUUGGGCUGAGAUUUCCAGGAACGCUUUCGCGGGGUUUGUGUGCACGUAUUUUAAACCAUACGGACCUAAAAAUUAGAAGUCAUUCCAUCUUUAUUCCCCUAGAGCCUAACACACUAUUAUAGCUAGACAUGGGUGUGGCUCGUAACACCUGAUGACCAAACGGAUCUACGGCACCAUCGAAUCUCAAACUUUAACUGCCAAAACUAUUGUAUUUCAUCAUGUAGUCCCUUUUAGAAUUAUUAAACGUCCUUUUUUUGGGCCGUGAUUUCCAUGAACGCUUUCUCGGGGUUUCUGUGCACGUAUUUCAAAUCAUACAGACCUAAAAAUUAGAAGGCAUUUCAUCUUUAUUCCCCUAGAGCCUUCCAGCAGUUCCUAAACCGCUCCAGUCGGACCAUGUUAUCAUUCUUGUUAGUUCUGAGUGAAUUCCCUCGAUAUGAUCAUUCUUUCAUCAGUUUGUUCCCCGUUUCUUCUCUAGUCUGAGCCUAGCUCACUAUUCUAGCUAGAUAUGGGUGUGGCUCAUAAUACCCGAUGACCAAACGGAUCUACGGCACCAUCGAAUCUCAAACUUUAGCUGCCAAAACUAUUGUUUUUCAUCCUGUAGUCCCUUUUAGAAUUACUAAACGUCCUUUUUUGGGCCGGGAUUUCCAGGAGCGCUUUCUCGGGGUUUGUGUGCACGUAUUUCAAACCAAGCGUUCCUAAAAAUUAGAAGUCAUUUGAUCUUUAUUCCCCUAGAGCCUUCCAGCAGUUCCUAAACCGCUCCAGUCGGCGCACGUUAUCAUUCUUGUUAGUUCUGAGCGAAUUCCCUCGGUAUGAUCAUUCUUUCAUCAGUUUGUUCCUCGUUUCUUCUCUAGUCUGAGCCUAGCACACUAUUCUAGCUAGACAUGGGUGUGGGUCAUAACACCUGAUGACCAAACCGAUCUACGGCACCAUCGAAUCUCAAACUUUAACUACCAAAACUAUUGUUUUUCAUCCUGUAGUCCCUUUUAGAAUUACCAAACGUCCUUUUUUGGGCCGAGAAUUCCAAGAAUGCUUUCUCGGGGUUUGUGUGCACAUAUUUCAAACCAAACAUUCCUAAAAAUUAGAAAUCAUUCCAUCUUUAUUCCCCAAGAGCCUUCCAGCAGUUCCUAAACAGCUCCACUCAGAGCACGUUGUCAUUCUUGUUAGUUCUGAGCGAAUUCCCUCGGUAUGAUCAUUCUUUCAUCAGUUUGUUCCCUGUUUCUUCUCUAGUCUGAGCCUCGCACACUAUUCUAGCUAUUAAUGGGUGUGGAUCGUAACUCCUGAUGACCAAACGGAUCUACGGCACCGUCGAAUCUCAAACUUUAACUGCCAAAACUACUGUUUUUCAUUCUGUAGUCCCUCUUAAAUUACUAAACGUCAUUUUUUGGGCUGAGAUAUCCAGGAACGCUUUCUCGGGGUUUGUGUGCACGUAUUUCAAAUCAUACGGACCUAAAAAUUAGAAGUCAUUCCAUCUUUAUUCCCCUAGAGCCUUCCAGCAGUUCCUAAACCACUCCAGUCGGAGCACGUUAUCAUUAUUGUUAGUUCCGAGUGAAUUCCCUUGGCAUGAUCUUUCUUUCAUCAGUUUGUUCCCCGUUUCUUCUCUAGUGUUAGCCUAUCACACUAUUCUAGCUAGACAUGGGUGUGGCUCGUAACACCUGAUGACCAAACGGAUCUACGGCACCGUCGAAUUUCAAACUUUAACUGCCAAAACUAUUGUUUUUCCUCCUGUAGUCCCUUUUAGAAUUACUAAAUGUCCUUUUUUGGGCCGAGAUUUCCAGGAAUGCUUUCUCGGGGUUUGUGUGCAUGUAUUUCAAACCAUACGGACCUAAAAAUUAGGUCAUUCCAUAUUUAUUCCCCUAGAGCCUUCCAGCAGUUCCUAAACAUCUCCAGUCGGAGCACGUUAUCAUUCUUGUUUGUUCUGAGCGAAUUCCCUCAGUAUGAUCAUUCUUUCAUCAUUUUGUGCCCUGUUUCUUCUCUAGUCUGAGCAUAGCACACUAUUCUAGCUAGACAUGGGUGUGGCUCGUAACACCUGAUGACCAAACGGAUGUACGACACCGUCGAAUCUCAAACUUUAACUGCCAAAACUAUUGUUUUUCAUCCUGUAGUCCCUUUUAAAUUUACUAAAUGUCCUUUUUGGGCUGAGAUUUCCAGGAACGCUUUCGUGCGGUUUGUGUGCAAGUAUUUCUAAUCAUACGGACCUAUAAAUUAGAAGUCAUUCCAUCUUUAUUCCCCUAGAGCCUUCGAGCAGUUCCUAAACCGCGCCAGCCGGAGCAUGUUAUCAUUCUUGUUAGUUCUGAGUGAAUUCCCUCGGUAUGAUCAUUCUUUCAUCAGUUUGUUCCCCGUUUCUUCUCUAGUCUGAGCCUAGCACACUACUCUAGCUAGACAUGGGUUUGGCUCGUAACACCUGAUAACCAAACAGGUCUACGACUCCAUCGAAUCUCAAACUUUUUUGGGCCGAGAUUUCCAGGAACGCUUUCUCGGGGUUUGUGUGCACGUAUUUCAAAUCAUGCGGACCUAAAAAUUAGAAGUCAUUCCAUAUUUAUUACCCUAGAGCCUUCCAGCAGUUCCUAAACCGCUCCAGUCGGAGCAUGUUAUCAUUCUCUUUAGUUCUCAGGGAAUUCCCUCGGUAUGAUCAUUCUUUCAUCAGUUUAUUCCCUGUUUUUUCUCUAGCAUGAGCCUAACACACUAUUCUAGCUACACAUGGGUGUGGCUCGUAACACCUGAUGACCAAACGGAUCUACGGCACCGUCGAAUCUCAAACUUUAACUGCCAAAACUAUUGUUUUCGUCCUGUAGUCCCUUUUAGAAUUACUAAACGUCCUUUUUUGGGCCGAGAUUUCCAGGAACGCUUUCUCGGGGUUUGUGUGCACGUAUUUCAAAUCAUACGGACCUAAAAAUUAGAAGUCAUUCCAUCUUUAUUCCCCUAGAGCCUUCCAGCAGUUCCUAAACAGCUCUAGUCGGAGCAAGUUAUCAUUCUUGUUAGUUCUGAGCGAAUUCCCUCGGUAUGAUCAUUCUUUCAUUAGUUUGUUCUGCGUUUCUUCUCUAGUCUGAGCCUAGCACACUAUUCUAGCUAUUAAUGGGUGUGGAUCGUAACACCUAAUGACCAACGGAUCUACGGCACCAUCGAAUCUCAAACUUUAACUGCCAAAACUAUUAUUUUUCAUCCUGUAGUCCCUUUAAAAAUUAUUAAAUGUCAUUUUUUGGGCCGAGAUUUCCAGGAACGCUUUCUCGGGGUUUGUGUGCAUGUAUUUCAAGUCAUACGGACCUAAAAAUUAGAAUCCAUUCCAUCUUUAUUCCCCUAGAGCCUUGCAGCAGUUCCUAAACCGCUCCAGUCGGAGCACGUUAUCAUUAUUGUUAGUUCUGAGUGAAUUCCCUCGGUAUGAUUAUUCUUUCAUCAGUUUGUUCCCCAUUUCUUCUCUAGUCUGAGCCUAACACACUAUUCUAGCUAGACAUGGGUGUGGCUCGUAAUACCUGAUGACCAAACGGAUCUACAGCACCGUCGAAUCUCAAACUUUAACUACGAAAACUAUUGUUUUUCAUUCUAUAGUCCCUUUCAGAAUUACUAAACGUCCUUUUUUGGGCCGAGAUUUCCAGGAACGCUUUCUCGGGGUUUGAGUGCGCGUAUCUAACAAUACAGACCUAAAGAUUAGAAUUCAUUCCAUCUUUAUUCCCCUAGAGCCUUCCAGCAGUUCCUAAACUGCUCCAGUCGGAGCACGUUAUCAUUCUUGUUAGUUCUCAGGGAAUUCCCUCGGUAUGAUCAUUCUUUCAUCAGUUUGUUCCCCGUUUCUUCUCUAGCAUGAGCCAAACACACUAUUCUAGCUACACAUGGGUGUGCCUCGUAACACCUGAUGACCAAACGGAUCUACGGCACCGUCGAAUCUCAAACUUUAACUGCCAAAAUUAUUGUUUUUCAUCUUGUAGUCCCUUGUAGAAUUACUAAACGUCCUUUUUUGGGCCGAGAUUUCGAGAAACACUUUGUCAGGGUUUGUUUGCACGUAUUUCAAACCAUACGGACCUAAAAAUUAGAAGUCAUUCCAUCUUUGUUCCCCUAGAGCCUUCCAGCAGUUCCUAAACCGCUCCAGUCGGAGCAUGUUAUCAUUCUUGUUAGUUCUGAGCAAAUUCCCUCGGUAAGAUCAUUCUUUCAUCAGUUUGUUCCCUGUUUCUUCUCUAGCCUGAGCCUGACACACUAUUCUAGCUAGACAUGGGCGUGGCUCGUGACACCUGAUGACCAAACGGAUCUACGGCACCGUCGAAUCUCAAACUUUAACUACCAAAACUAUUGUUUUUCAUUCUGUAGUCCCUUUUAAAUUACUAAACGUCAUUUUUUCGGCCGAGAUUUCCAGGAACGCUUUCUUGUGGUUUGUGUGCAUGUAUUUCAAAUCAUACGGACCUAAAAAUUGGAAUCCAUUCCAUCUUUAUUCCCCUAGAGCCUUCCAGCAGUUCCUAAUCCGCUCCAGUCGGAGCACGUUAUCAUUGUUGUUAGUUCUGAGUGAAUUCCCUCGGUAUGAUCAUUCUUUCAUCAGUUUGUUCCCUGUUUCUUCUCUAGUCUGAGCCUAACACACUAUUCUAGCUAGACAUGGGUGUGGCUCGUAACACCCGAUGACCAAACGGAUCUACGGCACCGUCGAAUCUCAAACUUUAACUGCGAAAACUAUUGUUUUUCAUCCUGUAGUCCUUUUUAGAAUUACUAAACGUCCUUUUUUGGGACGAGAUUUCCAGGAACGCUUUCUCGGGGUUUGUGUGCGCGUAUUUCAAACCAUACGAACCUUAAAAUUAGAAUUCAUUCCAUCUUUAUUCCCCUAGAGCCUUCCAGCAGUUCCUAAACCGCUCCAGUCGGAGCACGUUAUCAUUCUUGUUAGUUCUGAGCAAAUUCCCUCGGUAUGAUCAUUCUUUCAUCAGUUUGUUCCCCGUUUCUUCUCUAGUCUGAGCCUAGCACACUAUUCUAGCUAUUAGUGGGUGUGGAUCGUAACACCUAAUGACCAAACGGAUCUAUGGCACCAUCGAAUCUCAAACUUUAACUGCCAAAACUAUUGUUUUUCAUCCUGUAGUCCCUUUUACAAUUAUUAAACGUCCUUUUUUGGGCCGAGAUUUCCAGGAACGCUUUCUCGGGGUUUGUGUGCAUGUAUUUCAAACCAAACGUUCCUAAAAAUUUGAAGGCAUUCCAUCUUUAUUCCCCUAGAGCCUUCCAGCAGUUCCUAAACCGCUCCAGUCGGAGCACGUUACCAUUCUUGUUAGUUCUGAGCGAAUUCCCUCGGUAUGAUCAUUUUUUCAUCAGUUUUUUCCCUGUUUCUUCUCUAGUCUGAGCCUCGCACACUAUUCUAGCUAUUAAUGGGUGUGGAUCGUAACACCUGAUGACCAAACGGAUCUACGGCACCGUCGAAUCUCAAACUUUAACUGCCAAAACUACUGUUUUUCAUUCUGUAGUCCAUUUUAAAUUACUAAACGUCAUUUUUGGGGCCGAUAUUUCCAGGAACGCUUUCUCGGGGUUUGUGUGCACGUAUUUCAAAUCAUACGGACCUAAAAAUUAGAAGUCAUUCCAUCUUUAUUCCCCUAGAGCCUUCCAGCAGUUCCUAAACCACUCCAGUCGGAGCAUGUUAUCAUUAUUGUUAGUUCUGAGUGAAUUCCCUCGGUAUGAUCAUUCUUUCAUCAGUUUGUUCCCCGUUUCUUCUCUAGUCUGAGCCUAUCAUACUAUUCUAGCUAGACAUGGGUGUGGCUCGUAACAUCUGAUGACCAAACGGAUCUAUGGCACCGUCGAAUCUCAAACUUUAACUGCCAAAACUAUUGUUUUUCAUCCAGUAGUCCCUUUUAGAAUUACUAAAUGUCCUUUUUUGGGCCGAGAUUUCCAGGAACGCUUUCUCGGGGUUUGUGUGCAUGUAUUUAAAACCAUACGGACCUAAAAAUUAGGUCAUUCCAUCUUUAUUCCCCUAGAGCCUUCCAGCAGUUCCUAAACCGCUCCAGUCGGAGCACGUUAUCAUUCUUGUUUGUUCUGAGCGAAUUCCCUCAGUAUGAUCAUUUUUCAUCAUUUUGUUCCCCGUUUCUUCUCUAGUCUGAGCCUAGCACACUAUUCUAGCUAGACAUGGGUGUGGCUCGUAACACUUGAUGACCAAAGGAUCUACGGCACCGUCGAAUCUCAAACUUUAACUGCCAAAACUAUUGUUUUUCAUCGUGUAGUCCCUUUGAAAUUUACUAAACGUCCUUUUUUGGGCUGAGAUUUCCAGGAAAGCUUUCGUGCGGUUUGUGUGCAAGUAUUUCAAAUCAUACGGACCUAUAAAUUAGAAGUCAUUCCAUCUUUAUUCCCCUAGAGCCUUCGAGCGGUUCCUAAACCGCUCCAGUCGGAGCAUGUUAUCAUUCUUGUUAGUUCUGAGUGAAUUCCCUCGGUAUGAUCAUUCUUUCAUCAGUUUGUUCCCCGUUUCUUCUCUAGUCUGAGCCUAGCACACGACUCUAGCUAGACAUGGGUUUGGCUCGUAACACCUGAUAACCAAAUGGCUCUAUGACACCAUCGAAUCUCAAACUUCUUUGGGCUGAGAUUUCCAUGAACGCUUUCUCGGGGUUUGUGUGCACGUAUUUCNNNNNNNNNNNNNNNNNNNNNNNNNNNNNNNNNNNNNNNNNNNNNNNNNNNNNNNNNNNNNNNNNNNNNNNNNNNNNNNNNNNNNNNNNNNNNNNNNNNNNNNNNNNNNNNNNNNNNNNNNNNNNNNNNNNNNNNNNNNNNNNNNNNNNNNNNNNNNNNNNNNNNNNNNNNNNNNNNNNNNNNNNNNNNNNNNNNNNNNNNNNNNNNNNNNNNNNNNNNNNNNNNNNNNNNNNNNNNNNNNNNNNNNNNNNNNNNNNNNNNNNNNNNNNNNNNNNNNNNNNNNNNNNNNNNNNGUAUUUCAAAUCAUGCGGACCUAAAAAUUAGAAGUCAUUCCAUAUUUAUUCCCCUAGAGCCUUCCAGCAGUUCCUAAACUGCUCCAGUCGGAGCAUGUUAUCAUUCUUGUUUGUUCUCAGGGAAUUCCAUCGGUAUGAUCAUUCUUUCAUCAGUUUGUUCCCCGUUUUUUCUCUAGCCUGAGCCUAACACACUAUUCUAGCUACACAUGGGUGUGGCUCGUAACACCUGAUGACCAAACGGAUCUACGACACCGUCGAAUCUGAAACUUUAACUGCCAAAACUAUUGUUUUUCAUCCUGUAGUCCCUUUUAGAAUUAGUAAACGUCCUUUUUUGGGCCAAGAUUUCCAGGAACGCUUUCUCGGGGUUUGUGUGCACGUAUUUCAAAACAUACGGACCUAAAAAUUAGAAGUCAUUCCAUCUUUAUUCCCCUAGAGCCUUCCAGCAGUUCCUAAACUGCUCUAGUCGGAGCAUGUUAUCAUUCUUGUUAGUUCUGAGUGAAUUCCCUCGGUAUGAUCAUUCUUUCAUAAGUUUGUUCCCCAUUUCUUCUCUAGUCUGAGCCUAGCACACUAUUCUAGAUAGACAUGGGUGUGGGCCAUAACACCUGAUGACCAAACGGAUCUACGGCACCCUCGAAUCUCAAACUUUAACUGCCAAAACUAUUGUUUUUCAUCUUGUAGUCCCUUUUAGAAUUACUAAACGUCCUUUUUUGGGCCGAGAUUUCCAGGAACGCUUUCUCGGGGUUUGUGUGCAUGUAUUUCAAACCAAACGUUCCUAGAAAUUAGAAGUCAUUCCAUGUUUAUUCCCCUAGAGCCUUCCAGCAGUUCCUAAACAGCUCUAGUCGAAGCACGUUAUCAUUCUUGUUAGUUCUGAGCGAAUUCCCUCGGUAUGAUCAUUCUUUCAUCAGUUUGUUUUGCGUUUCUUCUCUAUUCUGAGCCUAGCAAACUAUACUAGCUAUUAAUGGGUGUGGAUCGUAACACCUAGUGACCAAACGGAUCUACGGCACCAUCGAAUCUCAAACUUUAACUGCCAAAACUAUUAAACGUCCUUUUUUGGGCCGAGAUUUCCAGGAACGCUUUCUCGGGGUUUGUGUGCAUGUAUUUCAAAUCAUACGGACCUAAAAAUUAGAAGGCAUUCCAUCUUUAUUCCCCUAGAGCCUUCCAGUAGUUCCUAAACCACCCCAGUCGGAGCACGUUAUCAUUCUUGUUAGUUCUGAGCGAAUUCCCUUGGUAUGAUCAUUCUUUCAUCAGUUUGUUCCCUGUUUCUUCUCUAGCCUGAGCCUGACACACUAUUCUAGCUAGACAUGGGUGUGGCUCGUGACACCUAAUGAGCAAACGGAUCUACGGCACCGUCGAAUCUCAAACUUUAACUACCAAAACUAUUGUUUUUCAUUCUGUAGUCCCUUUUAAAUUACUAAACAUCAUUUUUUGGGCCGAGAUUUCCAGGAACGCUUUCUCGGGGUUUGUGUGCAUGUAUUUCAAUUCAUACGGACCUAAAAAUUAGAGUCCAUUCCAUCUUUAUUCCCCUAGAGCCUUCCAACAGUUCCUAAACCGCUCCAGUCGGAGCACGUUAUCAUUAUUGUUAGUUCUGAGUGAAUUCCCUCGGUAUGAUCAUUCUUUCAUCAGUUUGUUCCCGUUUCUUCUCUAGUCUGAGCCUAACACACUAUUCUAGCUAGACAUGGGUGUGGCUCGUAACACCUGAUGACCAAACGGAUCUACGGCACCGUCGAAUCUCAAACAUUAACUACGAAAACUAUUGUUUUUCAUUCUAUAGUCCCUUUUAGAAUUACUAAGCGUCCUUUUUUGGGCUGAGAUUUCCAGGAACGCUUUCUCGGGGUUUGUGUGCACGUAUUUCAAACAAUACGGACCGAAAAAUUAGAAUUCAUUCCAUCUUUAUUCCCCUAGAGCCUUCUAGCAGUUCCUAAAUCGCUCCAGUCGGAGCACGUUAUCAUUCUUGUUAGUUCUCAGGGAAUUCCCUCGGUAUGAUCAUUCUUUCAUCAGUUUGUUCCCCGUUUCUUCUCUAGCCUGAGCCUAACACACUAUUCUAGCUACACAUGGGCAUGGCUCGUAACACCUGAUGACCAAAUGGAUCUACGACACCGUCGAAUCUCAAACUUUAACUGCCAAAACUAUUGUUUUUCAUCCUGUAGUCCCUUGUAGAAUUACUAAACGUCCUUUUUUGGGCCGAGAUUUCGAGGAACGCUUUGUCGGGGUUUGUGUGCACAUAUUUCAAACCAUACGGACCUAAAAAUUAGAAGUCAUUCCAUCUUUGUUCCCCUAGAGCCUUCCAGCAGUUCCUAAACCGCUCCAGUCGGAGCACGUUAUCAUUCUUGUUAGUUAUGAGCAAAUUCCCUCGGUAUGUACAUUCUUUCAUCAGUUUGUUCCGUGUUUCUUCUCUAGCCUGAGCUUGACACACUAUUCUAGCUAGACAUGGGUGUGGCUCGUGACACCUAAUGACCAAACGGAUCUACGGCACCGUCGAAUCUCAAACUUUAACUACCAAAACUAUUGUUUUUCAUUCUGUAGUCCCUUUUAAAUUACUAAACGUCCUUUUUUGGGCCGAGAUUUCCAGGAACGCUUUCGCCCGGUUUGUGUGCAAGUAGUUCAAAUCAUACGGACCUAAAAAUUAGAUGUCAUUCCAUCUUUAUUCCCUCUAGAGCCUUCCAGCACUUCCUAAACCGCUCUAGUCGGAGCACGUUAUCAUUCUUGUUAGUUCUGAGUGAAUUCCCUUGGUAUGAUCAUUCUUUCAUCAGUUUGUUCUCCAUUUCUUCUCUAGUCUGAGCCUAACACACUACUCUAGCUAGACAUGGGUGUGGCUCAUAACACCUCAUGACCAAACAGGUCUACGGCACCAUCAAAUCUCAAACUUUAACUGCCAAAACUAUUGUUUUUCAUUCUGUAGUCCAUUUUAGAAUUACUAAACGUCCUUUUUUGGGACGAGAUUUCCAGGAACGCUUUCUCGGGGUUUGUGUGCACGUAUUUCAAAUCAUACAGACCUAAAAAUUAGAAGUCAUUCCAUCUUUAUUCCCCUAGAGCCUUCCAGCAGUUCCUAAACCGCUCCAGUCAGAGCAUGUUAUCAUUCUUGGUAGUUCUGAGUGAAUUCCCUCGGUAUGAUCAUUCUUUCAUCAGUUUGUUCCCCGUUUCUUCUCUAGCCUGAGCCUAACACACUAUUCUAGCUAGACAUGUGUGUGGCUCGUAACACCUGUUGACCAAACGGAUCUACGGCACCGUCGAAUCUCAAAUUUUAACUGCCAAAACUAUUGUUUUUCAUCUUGUAGUCCCUUUUAGAAUUACUAAACGUCCUUUUUUGGGCCGAGAUUUCCAGGAACGCCUUCUCGGGGUUUGUUUGCACGUAUUUCGAACCAUAUGGACCUAAAAAUUAGAAGUCAUUCCAUAUUUAUUCCCCUAUAGCCUUCCCGCAGUUUCUAAACCGCUCCAGUCGAAGCAUGUGAUCAUUCUUGUUAGUUCUGAGUGAAUUCCCUCGGUAUGAUCAUUCUUUCAUCAGUUUGUUCCCUGUUUCUUCUCUAGCCUGAGCCUGACACACUAUUCUAGCUAGACAUGGGUGUGGCUCAUGACACUUGAUGACCAAACGGAUCUACGGCACCGUUGAAUCUCAAACUUUAACUACCAAAACUAUUGUUUUUCAUUCUGUAGUCCCUUUUAAAUUACUAAACGUCAUUUUUUGGGCCGAGAUUUCCAGGAACGCUUUCUCGGGGUCUGUGUGCAUGUAUUUCAAAUCAUACGGACCUAAAAAUUAGAAUCCAUUCCAUCUUUAUUCCCCUAGAGCCUUCGAGCAGUUCCUAAACCGCUCCAGUUGGAGCACGUUAUCAUUAUUGUUAGUUGUGAGUGAAUUCCCUCGGUAUGAUCAUUCUUUCAUCAGUUUGUUCCCUGUUUCUUCUCUAGUCUGAGCCUAACACACUAUUCUAGCUAGACAUGGGUGUGGCUCGUAACACCCGAUGACCAAACGGAUCUACGGCACCGUCGAAUCUCAAACUUUAACUGCGAAAACUAUUGUUUUUCAUCCUGUAGUCCUUUUUAGAAUUACUAAACGUCCUUUUUUGGGACGAGAUUUCCAGGAACGCUUUCUCGGGGUUUGUGUGCGCGUAUUUCAAACCAUACGAACCUUAAAAUUAGAAUUCAUUCCAUCUUUAUUCCCCUAGAGCCUUCCAGAAGUUCCUAAACCGCUCCAGUCGGAGCACGUUAUCAUUCUUGUUAGUUCUGAGCGAAUUCCCUCGGUAUGAUCAUUCUUUCAUCAGUUUGGCCCCCCUUUCUUCUCUAUUCUGAGCCUAGCACACUAUUCUAGCUAUUAAUGGGUGUGGAUCGUAACACCUAAUGACCAAACGGAUCUACGACACCAUCGAAUCGCAAUCUUUAACUGCCAAAACUAUUGUUUUUCAUCCUGUAGUCCCUUUUACAAUUAUUAAACGUCCUAUUUUGGGCCGAGAUUUCCAGGAACGCUUUCUCGGGGUUUGUGUGCAUGUAUUUCAAAUCAUACGGACCUAAAAGUUUGAAGGCAUUCCAUCUUUAUUCCCCUAGAGCCUUCCAGCAGUUCCUAAACCGCUCCAGUCGGAUCACGUUAUCAUUAUUGUUAGUUCUGAGCAAAUUCCCUCGGUAUGAUCAUUCUUUCAUCAGUUUGUUCCCUGUUUCUUCUCUAACCUGAGCAUGACACACUAUUCUAGCUAGACAUGGGUGUGGCUCGUGACACCUGAUGACCAAACGGAUCUACGGCACCGUCGAAUCUCAAACUUUAACUGCAAAAACUAUUGUUUUUCAUUCUAUAGUCCCUUUUAAAUUACUAAACGUCCUUUUUUGGGCCGAGAUUUCCAGGAACGCUUUCGCCCGGUUUGUGUGCAAGUAUUUCAAAUCAUACGGACCUAAAAAUUAGAUGUCAUUCCAUCUUUAUUCCCUCUAGAGCCUUCCAGCACUUCCUAAACCGCUCUAGUCGGAGCACGUUAUCAUUCUUGUUAGUUCUGAGUGAAUUCCCUUGGUAUGAUCAUUCUUUCAUCAGUUUGUUCUCCAUUUCUUCUCUAGUCUGAGCCUAGCACACUACUCUAGCUAGACAUGGGUGUGGCUCAUAACACCUGAUGACCAAACGGAUCUACGGCACCGUCGAAUCUCUAACUUUAACUGCAAAAACUAUUGUUUUUCAUCCUGUAGUCCCUUUUAGAAUUACUAAACGUCCUCUUUUGGGCCGAGAUUUCCAAGAACGCUUUCUCAGGGUUUGUGUGCGUGUAUUUCAAAGCAUAUGGACCUAAAAAUUAGAAUUCAUUCCAUCUUUAUUCCCCUAGAGCCUUCCAGCAGUUCCUAAACCGCUCCACUCGGAUUACGUUAUCAUUCUUGUUAGUUCUGAGCGAAUUCCCUCGGUAUGAUCAUUCUUUCAUCAGUUUGUUCCCCGUUUCUUCUCUAGUCCGAGCCUAGCACACAAUUCUAGCUAGACAUGGGUGUGGCUCGUAUCACCUGAUGACCAAACGGAUCUACGGCACCGUCGAAUCUCAAAUUUAACUGCCAAAACUAUUAUUUUUCAUCCUGUAGUCCCUUUUAGAAUUACUAAACGUCCUUUUUUGGGCCGAGAUUUCCAGGAACGCUUUCGCGCGGUUUGUGUGCAAGUAUUUCAAAUCAUACGGACCUAAAAAUUAGAUGUCAUUCCAUCUUUAUUCCCCUAGAGCCUUCCAGCACUUCCUAAACCGCUCCAGUCGGAGCACGUUAUCAUUCUUGUUAGUUCCGAGUGAAUUCCCUUGGUAUGAUCAUUCUUUCAUCAGUUUGUUCUCCAUUUCUUCUCUAGUCUGAGCCUAGCACACUACUCUAGCUAGACAUGGGUGUGGCUCAUAAGACCUCAUGACCAAACGGGUCUACGGCACCAUCAAAUCUCAAACUUUAACUGCUAAAACUAUUGUUUUUCAUUCUGUAGUCCCUUUUAGAAUUACUAAACAUCCUUUUUUGGGCCGAGAUUUCCAGGAACGCUUUCUCGGGGUUUGUGUGCAUGUAUUUCAAAUCAUACAGACCUAGAAAUUAGAAGUCAUUCCAUCUUUAUUCCCCUAGAGCCUUCCAGCAGUUCCUAAACCGCUCCAGUCAGAGCAUGUUAUCAUUCUUGGUAGUUCUGAGUGAAUUCCCUCGGUAUGAUCAUUCUUUCAUCAGUUUGUUCCCCGUUUCUUCUCUAGCCCGAGCCUAACACACUAUUCUAGCUAGACAUGUGUGUGGCUCGUAACACCUGAUGACCAAACGGAUCUACGGCACCGUCGAAUCUCAAACUUUAUCUGCCAAAACUAUUGUUUUUCAUCUUGUAGUCCCUUUUAGAAUUACUAAACGUCCUUUUUUGGGCCGAGAUUUCCAGGAAUGCUUUCUCGGGGUUUGUUUGCAUGUAUUCCAAACCAUACAGACCUAAAAAAUUAGAAGUCAUUCCAUAUUUAUUCCCCUAUAGCCUUCCAGCAGUUUGUAAACCGCUCCAGUCGGAGCAUGUUAUCAUUCUUGUUAGUUCUGAGUGAAUUCCCUCGGUAUGAUCAUUCUUUCAUCAGUUUGUUCCCUGUUUCUUCUCUAGCCUGAGCCUGACACACUAUUCUAGCUAGACAUGGGUGUGGCUCAUGACACCUGAUGACCAAACGGAUCUACGGCACCGUCGAAUCUCAAACUUUAACUACCAAAACUAUUGUUUUUCAUUCUGUUGCCCCUUUUAAAUUACAAAACGUCAUUUUUUGGGCCGAGAUUUCCAGGAACGCUUUCUCGGGGUUUGUGUGCAUGUAUUUCAAGUCAUACGAACCUAAAAAUUAGAAUACAUUCCAUCUUUAUUCCCCUAGAGCCUUCCAGCAGUUCCUAAACCGCUCCAGUCAGAGCACGUUAUCAUUCUUGUUAGUUCUCAGGGAAUUCCCUCGGUAAGACCAUUCUUUCAUCAGUUUGUUCCCCGUUUCUUCUCUAGCCUGUGCCUAGCACACUAUUCUAGCUACACAUGGGUGUGGCUCGUAACACGUGAUGACCAAACGGAUCUACGACACCGUCGAAUCUCAAACUUUAACUGCCAAAACUAUUGUUUUUCAUCCUGUAGUCCCUUGUAGAAUUACUAAACGUCCUUUUUUGGGCCGAGAUUUCGAGGAACGCUAUGUUGGGGUUUGUGUGCACGUAUUUCAAACCAUACAGACCUAAAAAUUAGAAGUCAUUCCAUCUUUGUUCCCCUAGAGCCUUCCAGCAGUUCCUAAACCGCUCUAGUUGGAGCACGUUAUCAUUCUUGUUAGUUCUGAGCAAAUUCCCUCGGUAUGAUCAUUCUUUCAUCAGUUUAUUCCCUGUUUCUUCUCUAGUUUGAGCCUAGCACACUAUUCUAGCUACUAAUGGGUGUGGAUCGUAACACCUGAUGACCAAACGGAUCUACGGCACCGUCGAAUCUCAAACUUUAACUGCCAAAACUACUGUUUUUCAUUCCGUAGUCCCUUUUAAAUUACUAAACGUCAUUUUUUGGGCAGAGAUAUCCAGGAACGCUUUCUCGGGGUUUGUGUGCACGUAUUUCAAAUCAUACGGACCUAAAAAAUAGAUUCCAUUCCAUCUUUAUUCCCCUCGAGCUUUCCAGCAGUUCCUAAACCGCUCCAGUCGGAGCACGUUAUCAUUAUUGUUAGUUCUGAGUGAGUUCCCUCGGUAGGAUCAUUCUUUCAUCAGUUUGUUCCCCGUUUCUUCUCUAGUCUGAGCCUAACACACUAUUCUAGCUAGACAUGGGCAUGGAUCAUAACACCUGAUGACCAAACGGAUCUACGGCACCGUCGAAUCUCAAACUUUAACUGCGAAAACUAUUGUUUUUCAUCCUGUAGUCCCUUUUAGAAUUACUAAACGUCCUUUUUGGGCCGAGAUUUCCAGGAAC
rnacentral:lncRNA from 1 species